CAGGAAGCUGUUGAGACUUGCUCACAAUGAACAAGUUAUAAAGAUGCUUGUCUAGUUUAGUCAGGAUGUGAUGAAAUCUGCUUGUGCUUCUCAAUGACAUAAUCUCUCACAUCAUGACGUCACAGAAGAAAAUCCCACUGCUGAGGAGUCAGAAAUUCAGGCUUCCAAGAAACAUUUACUAAUACCUGUGCAUGCUGUGGCAGGGGUAGGAAAUGCAGGGAUGGGUUUCUUCCGAGUUAUGAACAAAUGAACUUGGUAAAAUUACUAUGGAUUGGAGGUGGAGCAUGACCCAAGGAGCAAUAGAGCCAGAACUGUAGUGUCCAGAAAGAUUCUGGAAGGAAGAUUACAUGUAAAGCCAUUAUAGACACUGGGAAAUGAUUGGCCAAGAUGAGGUCUAGUCCUAAGUCCAUUACCUCCUGUGCCUGCUGCUUAAAGAUUUCGCAAAGGAAGAUUUUGAAGCGACCUUACUUCACAUUGCAUCAGAUAUAUUGAUAUAUGAAAGUGCACCCACG